rnacentral:lncRNA from 1 species
AAGAUAACACAGCACUCUUGAGAUGACAGCUCAGGUAUGCAGUCUGCCGGCCCAAGCCCCAUGGAACUGUGGGAAGGAACGCAAGUGAUUCUCCUAUUGGACAGGGGCAAGUGCAUGGAAAAGGAUGAUGGUGAGGCUGAAAGCAGGAAAAGAUUUGACCCAUCUCCCAGGUUGGGCCCAGGCCAGAGGUCUCUACCAGCAAAGAGGAUAAAAGAGACUACACCUGGACAAACCCUCCCAGGCCCAGGCCUGAGCCUCACAUGUGGCCCCGGGGAAGGCAUCAGGGACUCCCUUUGCCCUCCCACUGACCUCCCUGCAAACCUCCCCCAAACCAAGGGGCAUCCUCAGCUGGCCAGACCCUGGGGGAAGGGAGAGAGCCGAGGAUCACCGGCACCUGUGGCUGGGUUACCCCUGCCAUGGACCACUGGGUGAUCAAGAAGUCAUUCCAAAAUGUGAAGCGUUCUGAAGAUAUGCACAUAGCGUAAGAACCUGGUGUAAUGUGCUGGUCAAGGCGGUCUCAGAGAGGAGAUGACGUUUGAGCUGACACCUGAGGGAUGAGAAGAAAGCAGCCAUUCCCAGGGCCCAGGGGAGGCAUCCCAGGAAGCCGGAUCAGCAUGAGCAAAAGCCCUGAGGCCUGGCACAAGUUGGUCUGCUUGAGAAGCAGGAGAGAGCCCUGAGCAUCCGGAGUGCAGCAAGCGAGAUGAGCAAGUCAAGAUGCAGAAGGACUCUCUGGCUUGUCCAAGGUCACACGGCUGUUAGGAGCAGAGCAGCGUCCUGGUGCCCAAGCCCUGAGGUCCCCAGCACACUGCCUCUGCAAUGGCCACAACUGUCCAAAGACUAAGCUGACUCUCACACCUGGUAGUGUCUGUGGUCAUUCACUGUGGAUGGAAGUGGAGAAAUGCAGAAAACAGAAACACAGCUUCCCCUUUUCUGUCAUAUUUCUGUAUCGUUGGUGUUUGGAGCCAGUUGAGCACAAAGGGCCCCUGAGUGCUGUUUCCUUGUGAUAUUUGGGGGUUAACAGCUUCCCCUCAUCUCUUAAUUACCUGCCCUCCUUCACUUCAGCUGCACAUUCGUUAAAGAAUGCUCUCCCAGGAGAAGAGCUUGGUGUUAUCACCCACAAACAUCUUAGAAAACUAAUGCUAUCCUUGAGUGCCUGUUUACAGAAACAUUUUUACAUCUCACUUGACAUUUCCAGCAAAUCUUGAUCCUUCCAGCCAGGAAUAUUAAUAUAUAGGUCUUGAAAAGUGCAAGAGGCUCUUCCAUGGCUCCAAGCACAUUUGACACUCUUCCUUUUCUGAUCCCCAAGCAGACAGUGAUGAAACCCCAAUAGCUGGGCGAAUACUCAUCCAACAGGAAGAAUCAGUUUUAAGAGCUGGGUUCUCAGGGUCAAAUACUGUGGUGUGGCCUUUUGGUUGUAAUGAGUUGAAUGGAGGUCUCAAAAAAGAUAUAUCCAUGUUCUAAUCCCCAGAACUUGUGAAUGUGACCUUAUUUGGAAAAAGAGUCCUUUUGGAUGUAAUUAAGUUAAGGAUUUUGAGAUAAGGAGAUCAUCCUGGGUUAUCUGGGUGGACCCUAAAUCUGUUGACAAUGUCCUUAUGAGAGACCCCAGAGGGCACAGACAGGAAAGGAAGAGGCAAUGUGGCCCCAGAGGCUGAGAUCAGAGCUCUGUGGCCACAAUUCGAGGAACACCUGGAGCCACCAGAAGCUGGAGGAGGCAAGGAACAGAUUCUCCCUGAUCCUCUGGAUACAGAGGGAGAAUAGCCUGGCCGACACCUUGAUUUUGGACUUCUGGCCCCCAGAACUGAGAAAAUUAACUUCUGUUGUGUUAAGCAGCCACGUUUGUAGCAGUUCAUCAUAGCAGCCCUGGGAAAGAAAUACAGUGGGCUUCCAGUUCAAGGAGGAUCCACGAGGCCUGAGCUCCAUCUGUCGAUUGGAAUCACCAAAAUCAAGGUUGUGUGCGGGUAACGCCAGCACAAGCAGCUCAUGCUGGCAAAAGCAGACCAAACCGGCUCACGCAACGUCAAGUCAUCUUGAAGUGGUUCACGCACCACAGUGAGUGGUAUUGAUUGUGGUUAAGAGCCAGGUUCAAGGAGGUUUAUCACUCAGUAGCCAGGUAAAGCAGGUUCCAGGCCUGGCUCCACCACUCAACAACCGGGGAAACAGGGGUAAGCUUCUUAAAUGCUCCGUGUCUCAGUUUCUCCAUGUGUAAAAUGAGGGCACUAAUAACAGUCCCUACCUGCAAGGUGGUUGUGAAGAUGAUAUGAAUUCAUAUAUGUAAGGCACUUGGAAUUGACAAUACUGACAUACCACAAAUACAAAAUAAGUGUCUGCCAUUAUUAAGCUAACCCAAAUCAAAACAGACACAGAUGAAUUCAGAAUACUCAAGUAGACUCAGAUAUGUUCAAAUGGAGCCCACCAGUUAAAACUAGCUGAGACCAGUGUAAACUGGCUCAAGCCUUUUGGGCCAAGCUGUACUAAAACCAGAUUAAAUCAGUCAAAACAGGAUUAGAAUAGUCAGUCUGGAAUCUCUACACGCACGCCUGCACAUUUGAGGGGUCUCUCUCCGCCCCCUCUGUACAUCAGAUUGAAUAGUAACAAACAGUCCCACAUCUCCCAAGAAUGAGCAUAAUGGACAAGCAGAGGGCCGCCAAUGUCCCCACCAGAACGAGCAUAAUGGACAGGCAGGGGGCCGCCGAUGUCCCCACCUAAGACAUGCAGACAUUUCCCUGUCGGAAACGCGCUCAGAUUCUUUACGGCAGGUCAAGGCUCAAAUAUCAGAAACCAAUUUCACUCACACUAACUAAACAAGAGACGGGAUCUGUGGUUCAGGAUCCUGAGGCACUCGUGAAACUCAUGGGUAGGAAGGUCAGCUGGAGCCAGUUAGUGUCUGGAAGGCUAUCAGAGCUCAAGGCCCCUCUCUCUGGCCCAUGGAGGGGAAUUAACUCCCUCAAAGGCAGGAGCUCAGUGAGCAGGAGGCUGGUAGGGAGGUGGGAGCUGCAGGUGACCGGUUAGAAGUCAGAGGCUGUUGUGGGGGGCAGCUUGCACCAGUGGACACAAGAGCCCCAACUUGUGGGCACUUGGAAGUCCCAGGCUGUUCCCUGGCUCCACCCCGUCCUCUGGGGUGCCUGCUUCACAGAGCACCAAUAAUGCGUUUGUGUCACUCUAUGUUUCCUGGCAGGAGCAGACCUGCAGAGGGGCCAGAAGACACCUGGCCGGGUGGGGAGCAGCCCCUCCGUAAUAACAAUCGGAACCUGGGAAGAUAAGUAGAGUCCCAGGGGAGGGACAGAGUUUCCCCUGUGUCACCACAUGGCUACUUUGACACAAAUGCACGUGGGCAGAGAGAGGCAUGCAGGUCAAGGGCCUGGCAGGGAGUCAGGGGCCCUCAGUGCCAGUCCUGGCUCUGCCUCUGCCUCUGACACGCCAUGUGACCUUGAGCAAGUCACCACCCUGUCUGGGCUUCGCUAACCCAUAUACGGAAUGAGAAGGUAUCGUCCCUGGUCACUGCAGGUUUUAAAUCAUGUAGUGAGAGAGAGCUCAUUUGGUCCAACUCUCUGCAACUGAAGGAAUGGAGACACCAAGGGGGAGUAAUCGGCCGCAGUGAUGAGUGGGUGGCAAAGGGAGCUAUCACUACCAUUGAUUAUCCAGCUACUUGUGCUUGAUAAACUCCCUCCUGGUGGAAUGGGCUUUCCCACAUCCAGCAGCACAAAUGCUGUGAGCAUCUACUACGGGCUGGGCACCUUCUCUGGGCUGGCACUUGACAUGGGUUAUCUCAUUUAACUCCCUAACAACCCUAUGUGGUAUUAUCAUCCCCAUUUCACAGGCGGCAAAACUGAAUCCCAGAGAGAAGACUCACUCAGACACAGCUAUCUGAACACUCUUUUCCAGUUCCCCUAGGGCAGCAGAGGAAGCAAGGUGGGGGGAAGCCAGUGGUCAAGGAUUCCAUGCGGAAUGUACCCUAGAAUUAACCCAUGGAGAGAGGGUAAGGGAACGGGCUCAGGCCUGGGAAGAAGUGGGGAGGACAGUGUCCUGUUGACCUAUUCAAAAACAUCCAGUUUUAGUUAAUUUUUAGUUCAUUAGUCACCACUUUUUAUUAGUAUCUCAUGUAUUCUUUCACAGUUUCUUUCUGCAGGUACAAAAAUAAUGAUUUUUUUUCUUUCUUUUUCUUCUUUGAGACAGGGUCUCGCUCUGUUGCCCAGGCUGUAGUACAAUG